CCUCUCACAAACCAGUACUAAUUACCGAGGUGCAAUCUCUCACGGAUCAGCACGAUUUACUAGCGUGCAGUCUCUCACAUACCAGCACGACAUACAAGAGUGCAGUCGCUCACAGACCAGCACAAUUUUCUAGAGUGCAAUCGCUCACAGAUCAACACAUUCUAGAGUGCAAUCUCUCACAGAUCAGCACGACGCGACAAUCCCCGCAAGGAUAAGAUGAACCAACAAUUCACAUGGCAUCAUCCCGUGGCCCAUCACGGUCACCACUAUCA
rnacentral:lncRNA from 1 species